AGUGAACGCUGGCGGUAGGCCUAACACAUGCAAGUCGAACGGCAGCACAGUAAGAGCUUGCUCUUACGGGUGGCGAGUGGCGGACGGGUGAGGAAUACAUCGGAAUCUACUUUUUCGUGGGGGAUAACGUAGGGAAACUUACGCUAAUACCGCAUACGACCUACGGGUGAAAGCAGGGGAUCUUCGGACCUUGCGCGAUUGAAUGAGCCGAUGUCGGAUUAGCUAGUUGGCGGGGUAAAGGCCCACCAAGGCGACGAUCCGUAGCUGGUCUGAGAGGAUGAUAGGCCACACUGGAACUGAGGCACGGUCCAGACUCCUGCGGGAGGCAGCAGUGGGGUAUAGGAGGCAGUAGGCGCAAACCUUGUCCAGCGGUACCGAGUGGGAGGAGGAGGCGUUGGGUGUGUGAAGACCUUUUGUGGGGAAAGAAAAGCAGCAGGUUAAGACGCAGCUUUACUGACGGUAACCAAUGAAUAAGCACCGGCUAACUUCGUG
rnacentral:rRNA from 1 species